rnacentral:tRNA from 1 species
CCUUCGAUAGCUCAGCUGGAAGAGCGCGAGACUGUAAUGGAUACACACCAUCUCGAGGUCACUGGAUCGACGCCGGUUCGAAGGA